UACAGAGGGGGCAAGCGUUAUUCGGAAUUAUUGGGCGUAAAGGGCGCGUAGGCGGCUUUUCAAGUGACGGGUGAAAUCCCUCGGCUUAACCGAGGAACUGCCUGUCAGACUGGAAGGCUUGAGACCGGGAGAGGUGAGUGGAAUUCCCAGUGUAGCGGUGAAAUGCGUAGAUAUUGGGAGGAACACCAGUGGCGAAGGCAGCCCCCUGGGUCAAGAUUGACGCUCAUGCACGAAAGCGUGGGGAGCAAACAGG
rnacentral:rRNA from 1 species